CCUACGGGAGGCAGCAGUGAGGAAUAUUGGUCAAUGGCCGGAAGGCUGAACCAGCCAUGCCGCGUGAAGGUCAGUGCCCUAUGGGCGUUAAACUUCUUUUGUGCGGGAGCAAUAAUGGUCACGUGUGGCCAGACGAGAGUACCGUACGAAUAAGCAUCGGCUAAAUACGUGCCAGCAGCCGCGGUAAUACGGGGGAUGCAAGCGUUAUCCGGAGUUAUUGGGUUUAAAGGGUGCGUAGGCUGGGAGGUAAGUCAGCGGUGAAAUGCCCCCGCUCAACGGGGUGAAGUGCCAUUGAUACUGCCUGGCUGGAAUGCGGAUGCCGUGGGAGGAAUGUGUGGUGUAGCGGUGAAAUGCAUAGAUAUCACACAGAACACCGAUUGCGAAGGCAUCUCACGAAUCCGCGAUUGACGCUGAUGCACGAAAGCGUGGGUAUCAAACAGGAUUAGAUACCCGGGUAGUC
rnacentral:rRNA from 1 species